AUGUAAUUUAUGUCAAAUAGCCCAAAGAGUUGUUUGUGAGCUUUGAAACCUGGGGCUGAGAACAUAGAAGAACAGGCCAGGACAUGCCCGGGCAGGCUCACCAUUAAGACAUUCCUGAGGCUGCUUGGCCAUAAAGAUAAAGAGAAUGACAUGUCCUGGCUGGCCCUGGCGCCUCCCUAUCUUCUGCCCUUCUGACCUAAGUUAAAUGUUAUCUGCAUGUACAGUCUGCUGGUGUUUAAAUGGACCAAUCAUGUGAAACUGCGCCAAUUCCUCCCCCAGCCCCAGCCCUUUUUCUAUAAAAACCCCUAGCUUCCAAGCCUCCUGGUCAAAACCACUGUCUCCUGCGUGAGAUACGUUUCGACCCGGAGCUCCGCCAUUAAAACUACCUCAUGUAUUUACAUCAAGGUGUUCUGUUCUGUUCGUGAUUCUUGGGUGCACUUCAAAUGGGGAAUUGAGUGGGGGUUUCCCCACAAGGUUCUUUCAUUUGGAGGCGUGACAAUCAGGAACCCUGAAAAACCCCUUGGAGC
rnacentral:lncRNA from 1 species